AUACGGAGGGGGCUAGCGUUGUUCGGAAUUACUGGGCGUAAAGGGCGCGUAGGCGGAUUGUCAAGUCAGAGGUGAAAGCCCUGGGCUCAACCUGGGAACUGCCUUUGAAACUAACGGUCUAGAGUCCGAGAGAGGAUGGCGGAAUUCCCAGUGUAGAGGUGAAAUUCGUAGAUAUUGGGAAGAACACCAGUGGCGAAGGCGGCCAUCUGGCUCGGUACUGACGCUGAGGCGCGAAAGCGUGGGGAGCAAACAGGAUUAGAAACCCGGGUAGUCC
rnacentral:rRNA from 1 species